CCCUUAGAUGUUCUGGGCCGCACACGCGCUACACUGAAGGAGGCAGCGUGUACUCCUGGAUCGAAAGAUUUGGGUAACCCGCGAAUCUCCUUCGUGCUAGGGAUUGAGGUUUGCAAUUAUCCUUCAUGAACGAGGAAUUCCCAGUAAGUGCAAGUCAUAAGCUUGCGCUGACUACGUCCCUGCCCUUUGUACACACCGCCCGUCGCUACUACCGAUUGAAUGAUUUAGUGAGGACUUCGGACUGGGACCGAUGCGGCUUUCGGACUGCGUCGGUAUUCUGGAAAGAUGUCCAAACUGUAUCAUUUAGAGGAAGUAAAAGUCGUANCA
rnacentral:rRNA from 1 species